GUGAAACUGCGAAUGGCUCAUUAAAUCAGUUAUCGUUUAUUUGAUAGUACCUUACUACUUGGAUACCUGUGGUAAUUCUAGAGCUAAUACAUGCUAAAAACCCCGACUUCGGAAGGGGUGUAUUUAUUAGAUAAAAAACCAAUGCCCUUCGGGGCUCCUUGGUGAUUCAUAAUAACUUCUCAGAUCGCAUGGCCUUGCGCCGGCGACGGUUCAUUCAAAUUUCUGCCCUAUCAACUUUCGAUGGUAAGGUAUUGGCUUACCAUGGUUUCUACGGGUAACGGGGAAUUAGGGUUCGAUUCCGGAGAGUUAGCCUGAGAAACGGCUAACACAUCCAAGGAAGGCAGCAGGCGCGCAAAUUACCCAAUCCUGAUACAGGGAGGUAGUGACAAUAAAUACUGAUACAGGGCUCUUUUGGGUCUUGUAAUUGGAAUGAGUACAAUUUAAACCUCUUAACGAGGAACAAUUGGAGGGCAAGUCUGGUGCCAGCAGCCGCGGUAAUUCCAGCUCCAAUAGCGUAUAUUAAAGUUGUUGCAGUUAAAAAGCUCGUAGUUGAACCUUUGGCCUGGCUGGCAGGUCCGCCUCACCGCGUGCACUUGUCCGGCCGGGCCUUUUCUUCUGGAGAACCGCAUGCCCUUCACUGGGUGUGUUGGGGACCAGGACUUUUACUUUGAAAAAAUUAGAGUGUUCAAAGCAGGCCUUUGCUCGAAUAUUACAGCAUGGAAUAAUAAAAUAGGACGUGCGGUUCUAUUUUGUUGGUUUCUAGGACCGCCGUAAUGAUUAAUAGGGACAGUCGGGGGCAUCAGUAUUCAAUUGUCAGAGGUGAAAUUCUUGGAUUUAUUGAAGACUAACUACUGCGAAAGCAUUUG
rnacentral:rRNA from 1 species